rnacentral:rRNA from 1 species
UACGGAGGGUGCAAGCGUUAUCCGGAUUCACUGGGUUUAAAGGGCGCGUAGGCGGUCCCAUAAGUCCCGCGUGAAAUCCCCCGGCUCAACCGGGGAACUGCGCGGGAAACUGCGGGGCUUGAGUUCGGGAGAGGGAAGCGGAAUUCCGGGUGUAGCGGUGAAAUGCGUAGAUAUCCGGAGGAACACCGGUGGCGAAGGCGGCUUCCUGGACCGACACUGACGCUGAGGCGCGAAAGCUAGGGGAGCAAACGGG